CCGUGCAAUUCGGUAUAAUCUGAAUUAUAUAAAUUAUAUUUUUUAAUUGUUUUAUAGUUAUUUUAUUAGAAUCAAUUUAUUUGUUUUUGUAUAUGUUUUAGAUUAAAUUUAUUUAUUAUAAUUAGUACUGUGGAGGUAAUUAUUAUUUAAUUUUAAUAAGUAUAUUUUAUUUAUAGUACCUUGUGUAUCAGGGUAUAUUAAAUUUUAUUAUAUAUUUUGUAUUUCCCGAUUUUAAAGGAUUUAAUUUAUUAUUUUAUUUAUUAUUUUAUAAUUAUUAAUAAUAUUAAGUUAGUAGUGAAAUGUUAUUCGUCUUUAAUUGUAUCUGGUUUUCUAAGAAAUGAAUUUAAUUCAUAUUUUUUUAGUAUAUUUCUAUAUUUUGUAGUAAUUAUUAUAAUAAUAUAAAUAUUAAGAGGGAUAAGCUUUUUAAUAUAAUUUUAUAAAUUAUUUAAUUUAAUUAAAUUUGUUGGUUUUAUAAUAACUAUCAUUUUAAAUUUGUUAAAAUUUUAAUUUGUUAAAGUUUUAAUUUUUAUUAUUUUUAAUUUUUUUAUUAGAAUAAUUUAUUUAAUAAAAUUAUAAUUUUAUUAAUGAUGUAAUUAGUAAAUAUUUAUUUUAUUUUAUUUAUAAAUAUUAUAUAUUUAUAAAAGGAAUUAGGCAAAUAUAAGUUCUCGCAUGUUUAUCAAAAACAUCUCUUCUUGUAAAUUAUAUAUGAAGUAUAACCUGCCCACUGAAGAAUUUGAAGGGCCGCGGUAUUUUGACCGUGCAAAGGUAGCAUAAUCAUUAGUCUUUUAAUUGAGGACUGGAAUGAAUGGUUGAACGAAGAAUAUACUGUUUCUUUUUAAUUAUUAUUGAAUUUAAAGUUUAAGUAAAAAUACUUAAAUUUUUUUAUGGGACGAGAAGACCCUAUAGAGUUUUAUAUUUUUUAUUAUUUAUUUGUUUGAAAUUGAUUUAUUUUAAAAAGUAUUUUGUUGGGGUGAUGGGAAGAAAUUAUAAAACUCUUUUUUAAUAAAUAUACUAAUGUGUAUUAUUGUGAUCCAAUCUUAUUGAUUAGAAGACUAAAUUACCUUAGGGAUAACAGCGUAAUCUUUUUAGAGAGUUCUUAUCGAUAAAAGGGUUUGCGACCUCGAUGUUGGAUUAAGAUUAAAAUUGGGGGCAGAAUUUCAAUAUUUAGGUCUGUUCGACCUUUAAAAUCUUACAUGAUCUGAGUUCAAACCGGCGUGAGCCAGGUUGGUUUCUAUCUAUAAUUAAUUUAUAUAUCUUAGUACGAGAGGACCAGAUAUUUAAAAUAAUUUUAUUUGUUUUGAUUAUUAUUAAUUUACUAUUUUGGCAGAUAAGUGCCAUUGAUUUAGAAUCUUUAUAUAUAGAUUUUCUAUA
rnacentral:rRNA from 1 species